GAUCAUGGCUCAGAUUGAACGCUGGCGGCAGGCCUAACACAUGCAAGUCGAACGGUAACAGGAAGAAGCUUGCUUCUUUGCUGACGAGUGGCGGACGGGUGAGUAAUGUCUGGGAAACUGCCUGAUGGAGGGGGAUAACUACUGGAAACGGUAGCUAAUACCGCAUAACGUCGCAAGACCAAAGAGGGGGGACCUUCGGGCCUCUUGCCAUCGGAUGUGCCCAGAUGGGAUUAGCUUGUUGUGGGG
rnacentral:rRNA from 1 species